rnacentral:rRNA from 1 species
GUCCACGCCCUAAACGAUGCUGACUAGUUGUUCGGGAUUUACAUCCUGAGUAACGUAGCUAACGCGUGAAGUCAGCCGCCUGGGGAGUACGGUCGCAAGAUUAAAACUCAAAGGAAUUGACGGGGACCCGCACAAGCAGUGGAUGAUGUGGAUUAAUUCGAUGCAACGCGAAAAACCUUACCUACCCUUGACAUGUCACUAACGAAGUAGAGAUACAUUAGGUGCUCGUAAGAGAAAGUGAACACAGGUGCUGCAUGGCUGUCGUCAGCUCGUGUCGUGAGAUGUUGGGUUAAGUCCCGCAACGAGCGCAACCCUUGUCUUUAGUUGCUACGCAAGAGCACUUUAAAGAGACUGCCGGUGACAAACCGGAGGAAGGUGGGGAUGACGUCAAGUCCUCAUGGCCCUUAUGUCCAGGGCUGCAAACACGCUACAAUGGCCGAUACAAAGGGUCGCUUGCCCGCGAGGGCUGGCCAAUCCCAUAAAGUCGGUCUCAGUUCGGAUUG